GUUGUUUUUCUUUUUAUGCAGUUUGAAUCUUAUUAUGAGAAAAAUUCCACUCGAAUGAGAUACCAAGAAGCAGCAUCCACUCGAGAUUCAGAUCCAGAAAAAUUAUACAACUUAAAAUGUGAUCGGGGUAAAGCUUUGAAAAGUGCUAAUGAGAUUCCUCCAAGUUGGACCAGUUUCCGAGUUCUCAGGAGAAGCAUGUUGGCCAGGCGUUACAAUCUACUGCUGGCUCAGGCAGAGGACUGUGCACGUGAUCACAAGGGGUGGCCAGAAAUGGGCUCCCUCGCAGGAGAGCCUGGAUUCGGUGGGGAAGAGAAAACAAAGAUCGCAAUUAAAUCAACCCCCCUUAACCAGGACUCUUUGACCCAUGUCAGCAUCCCCCAUGGUACCCAACCAAACGCAUGGAAAAGAAGAUGGUGAAGAGGAACAGGAUGUAGAGGAGGGAUGAGCCAGAUCUCCUGAUACGAGGCAAGAUGGGGGGGUGUGGGGUGGAGCCCCGGGAGGAGAGCUGGGGGCCAAGGCUCCAGAGACACUGCCUGUGUCACCAGUAUCCCGGGUGUCCUGCCUCGGGAUGAAAUGUUGGGCUCUAGUCUCCCAUGGGAACGCUAAUUAGCUGGGUGACUUUAAUCAAGUUGGUUUGCCUCUCUGGGCCUCAGCAUCCUUGCCUAUGGAAUGAAGGAAAUGCGCUAAACCCAAGGAUCUCUUCCAACCCUGGAUUCCAUACCUUUUUGUUCCACCUCCAGACACAACAGUGUCACGCUAAGCUUGCAAUGAUCACAGGGUGAGGUCUCUGCCUGGCUCCUCCAUCAAACCUUGAGCUCCUCCAAGAAAAGUACCACACACUGGAUUUUGUCGGCUGCUGCCGCCUUUUCAUUUCCCCCUGGACCUGGCAUUAUUUUGCUUAACGAACGAAUGAAUGACCUGAAGGAGUGAGGAGUUCUGACAGCCCAAGAGCAGAAGUCUGGGCUCAGACAGAGCUGAUGGAACAGCAACGCGACUGCUUCUGCUACGAGUGGGUUUGAACAGACUGCUGGUUUGUCCCAGGGUUCGGGGACAGUCCCAGUUUUCACUUGUCCUGGUGUAAUUAUUAGAACAUUUCCUUUCAGCUUUGCAAAUGUCCCCACUGGAUGAUAAAGGUAAUGGUCACCUUGGAAAUGAGGGAACCCAGGGUCCGUGAUACUGACCAUGUGCCAGUUGUAUUGACCAGCUCUUUUAGUACAUGUUCUUGGUCAAUCUACCUCAAAACUCUUAAUAUAGCAGUUAUUAUCCCCAUUUUACAGAUAAAAACUUUGAGGUUCAGCA
rnacentral:lncRNA from 1 species